CCUACGGGUGGCAGCAGUGAGGAAUAUUGGUCAAUGGGCGCGAGCCUGAACCAGCCAAGUCGCGUGAGGGAUGACGGUCCUAUGGAUUGUAAACCUCUUUUGUCGGGGAGCAACAGACGCCACGCGUGGCGUUCCGAGAGUACCCGACGAAUAAGCAUCGGCUAAGUCCGUGCCAGCAGCCGCGGUAAUACGGAGGAUGCGAGCGUUAUCCGGAUUUAUUGGGCUUAAAGGGUGCGCAGGCGGAAGAUCAAGUCAGCUGUAAAAUUGAGCGGCUCAACCUCUUCGAGCCGUUGAAACUGGUUGUCUUGAGUGAACGAGAGGCAGGCGGAAUGCGUGGUGUAGCGGUGAAAUGCAUAGAUAUCACGAGGAACUCCGAUUGCGAAGGCAGCAUGCCGGGGCGCAACUGACGCUCAUGCACGAAGGUGUGGGUAUCAAACAGGAUUAGAUACCCGAGUAGUC
rnacentral:rRNA from 1 species